AUUGAACGCUGGCGGCAGGCCUAACACAUGCAAGUCGAGCGAAUGAGGGUAGCUUGCUACCUGAUUUAGCGGCGGACGGGUGAGUAAUGUAUAGGGAGCUGCCCCGAUAGAGGGGGUGAUACCAGUUGGAAACGACUGUUAAAUUACCGCAUAAUGUCUACGGACCAAAUGUGUGGGACCUUUUGGGCCACAUGCUAUCGGAUGCACCUAUAUGGGGCAUUAGGCUAGUUGGUGGGGUAACGGCUCACCAAGGCGACGAUCCCUAGCUGGUUUGAGAGGAUGAUCAGCCACACUGGAAUCUGAGACACGGUCCAGACUCCUACGGGAGGCAGCAGUGGGGAACUAUUGGACAAUGGGCGCAAGCCUGAUCCAGCCAUGCCGCGUGUGUGAAGAAGGCCUCGGUUG
rnacentral:rRNA from 1 species